rnacentral:snoRNA from 1 species
CACCUGUGAUGACAGACAUGAAUUAAAGCUUUUCUGACACCUACUAUGAGAGCUUUGCAGCUCCUGAUUCUGACUUUACUCUGAGGUUU